rnacentral:rRNA from 1 species
UACGAAGGGGGCUAGCGUUGCUCGGAAUCACUGGGCGUAAAGCGCACGUAGGCGGCUUUUUAAGUCAGGGGUGAAAUCCCGGAGCUCAACUCCGGAACUGCCUUUGAUACUGAAAAGCUUGAGUUCGGGAGAGGUGAGUGGAACUGCGAGUGUAGAGGUGAAAUUCGUAGAUAUUCGCAAGAACACCAGUGGCGAAGGCGGCUCACUGGCCCGAUACUGACGCUGAGGUGCGAAAGCGUGGGUAGCAAACAGG